rnacentral:rRNA from 1 species
AGCAGCCGCGGUAAUUCCAGCUCCAAUAGCGUAUAUUAAAGUUGUUGCAGUUAAAAAGCUCGUAGUUGAAUUUCGGGAUCAAUGUUUCGGUCAUGCCCUUGGUAUGUACUGAUAUUAUUGGUUUCUCACCUUCUAAAGAACCGUAAUGCCAUUAAUUUGGUGUCACGGGGAAUUAGGACUGUUACCUUGAAAAAAUUAGAGUGUUUAAAGCAGGCUCACGCUUGAAUACAUUAGCAUGGAAUAAUGAAAUAGGACAUCCGAUUCUAUUUUGUUGGUUUCUAGGAUCGAUGUAAUGAUUAAUAGGGAUAGUUGGGGGCAUUAGUAUUCAAUUGUCAGAGGUGAAAUUCUUGGAUUUAUUGAAGACUAACUACUGCGAAAGCGUUUGCCAAGGAUGUUUUCAUUAAUCAAGAACGAAAGUUAGGGGAUCGAAGACGAUCAGAUACCGUCGUAGUCUUGACCAUAAACUAUGCCGACUAGGGAUCGGAUGAUGUUAAUUUUUUAAUGACUCA